rnacentral:rRNA from 1 species
UACGUAGGGUGCGAGCGUUAAUCGGAAUUACUGGGCGUAAAGCGUGCGCAGGCGGCUUCGCAAGUCAGACGUGAAAUCCCCGGGCUUAACCUGGGAAUGGCGUUUGAAACUACGGAGCUGGAGUGUGGCAGAGGGAGGUAGAAUUCCACGUGUAGCGGUGAAAUGCGUAGAUAUGACAUAGAACACCAAUUGCGAAGGCAGCUGGCUACACGAAUAUUGACACUGAUGCACGAAAGCGUGGGGAUCAAACAGG